UACGAAGGGUGCAAACGUUGCUCGGAAUUAUUGGGCGUAAAGCGCACGUAGGCGGCUUGGCAAGUCGGAUGUGAAAUCCCUCGGCUCAACCAAGGAAGUGCAUCCGAAACUGCUGAGCUUGAGUACUUAAGAGGAUCGUGGAAUUCCCGGUGUAGAGGUGAAAUUCGUAGAUAUCGGGAGGAACACCAGUGGCGAAGGCGGCGAUCUGGGAAGAUACUGACGCUGAGGUGCGAAAGCGUGUGGAGCAAACAGG
rnacentral:rRNA from 1 species